CCUGGGACGCAGGCCUGGCCCACUGGAACAUCCCCUGGCCACGAUGAUUGGCUUAGGGGAGGUCAUGUGAUCCAACUUAAGCCAAUGAGACUCAACUCCGGAGCUUCCCUUGAAACUAUAGCUGAAAGACCAGCUUGUCAGUCCUGGUAGCCAUUUUUUGCCAUAUUUGCUAUCCUGAGAGGGGAAUCUGCAUGAGAAUGAAGUUGUUCCAGAAGAAAGCAUACAUGAGAGAUGGAAAGGUUGAGAAAUCUGCCCCUGCAAAAUUCAGUUAAAUGAAGAAACCAGAACCCAAAAGGGGAAAUAAUUCAUCCAAGAUCACUCACUAGGAUUCAAGCUUUAAUACCUGGUGUGUCUGAAUCAAGAAUUCACAUCCUCACAACUGCUCCAUAUCCCCCUACUCCCCAAAUCUUGAGGCUUACAGGUAUCUACUGAACAAUAAACAUCUUCCCUGAGCCUGAAAAUGGUGGAGAUGACAUGUGGAUUUCUGGAAAUUGAAGCAGAGACACCCCUUCAGGGGAAUAAGAGACAGCAUUUGAGGCACUUGCAUUCCUCCAGCUGUCCCCCUAUGGCAUGUUUUAAAUUUAAAGUGGCAAAUGAGGAAGAUGCUUCCUCAGGUGUUCCCCAAAGGCCUGGAUAUUGGCCGACAAGAGGGCCAAUUUUCUCACUGACAUUCUUCUUCUUAAUAGAAAUUGGUCUGCAAAACAUCUGCUAAUUAUUUUCCAAAGCUGAAUCUAUGCAAACUCUACAACCCAACAAUUCCACUCCUGGUGUUACCAGUGGAGGGUCUUGACUACCUGUCAUCCAAAUUCUUGGUGUUUUGAACAAAAAAUUGGACAAAACGCACAAAGAAAGCAAUGAAGCAAUGAAGCAAUGAAAGUACAGAUGUCUGUGAACAAAAAUUCACUCCACAGAGUGGGAGGCUGGCUUGAGCAAGUGGCUCAAGAUCAUUGGUUACAGAAUUUUCUGGAGUUUACCCUCCAGAGGUUUCCCAUUCGUUACUUGGUUACGCCCUGUGUAAAAGAAGAUUUGGCCUGCAGCCAUUCUGAUUGGUCACAGAAGGUCACAGAAGGUGACCAAUCAGAGGGUGAAGUGAAGCAAAGUUACACAUGAAGACUUGGCCCCACGACCAGUCUGAUUGGUUGAGGGAGGAGACCAAUUAUAGGUACUUUUCAGUUUUCAUCUGCAAGGCAGUGCAAAGGGAGUAGCCUCUGAUCCUUUUGUUACUUGGGUGUAGAAAGCUGGGGUUUUCCUUUGGAUUCAGUUCUAGGAAGUCAGCACAAAUCAGCAUUAGGUUCCCUGUCUCCAGACUCUAUUCUGCCUCAUUGGGUAAAUACCAGAUAGAAAUGAGCGUGUGUUCAACUAAGAGAGACCUUCAGAGCGGUGCUUACAGCCCCAAAUCAGAAACAAUGCAAAGUCCCUGGGCUGGGAAGUAAAUUAUGGUAGAGUCACAUGGUGGACUACUGCGCUGCAAUGAGAAGGAGCAAUCUUCAGACCAAUCCAGGGACAUGGAAGGAUCUCACAUCCAUGAUGUUGACUAGGUAGAAAGAGUAGGACAAAGAUACAUGCAUCCUGUAUGAUUUGAUGCUUGUGAUGUUUAAAAACAGGCUAACUCUAACCCUAACCCUUUGCUCACUAAUGCUUUUUGUUU